rnacentral:rRNA from 1 species
AGAGUUUGAUCCUGGCUCAGGAUGAACGCUAGCGACAGGCUUAACACAUGCAAGUCGAGGGGCAGCGGGGGUGAUGGCUUGCCAUCGCCUGCCGGCGACCGGCGCACGGGUGAGUAACACGUAUGCAACCUGCCCGCCACAGGGGGAUAAGCGGAAGAAAUUCCGUCUAAUACCGCGUGACGCGGCGUCGGGGCAUCCCGGUGCCGCCAAAGGGAUUACCGGUGGCGGAUGGGCAUGCGGCGCAUUAGCUAGUCGGCGGGGUAACGGCCCACCGAGGCGACGAUGCGUAGGGGUUCUGAGAGGAAGGUCCCCCACACUGGUACUGAGACACGGACCAGACUCCUACGGGAGGCAGCAGUGAGGAAUAUUGGUCAAUGGGCGCGAGCCUGAACCAGCCAAGUCGCGUGAGGGAUGACGGUCCUACGGAUUGUAAACCUCUUUUGCCGGGGAGCAAGCGUGCGUUCGUGAACGCGCGUCGAGAGUACCCGGAGAAAAAGCAUCGGCUAACUCCGUGCCAGCAGCCGCGGU